GCGUUUGCUUUGCAGCACAUAUGCUAAAGGUGGACCAACACAGAGAAAAUUAGCAUGACCCCUGCAUAAGCAUGACGCACUAAUCUGUGAAGCAGUCCAUAUUACA
ensembl:snRNA U6 U6 spliceosomal RNA